AAAAAACUCGCUUUAUAAUUUUCUCUCGCUCAAGUGCUCGUUCUUUUCUUUCUUGUGACCCCACUCGAUUUUUAUCACUCCUAGCCACCUCUCCAUUUUCUUUCGAGCUCUCGUUUUGUUUAUCUUUAUUUUUUUCUCACAUUCUCACCUCUCAACCUCACUUGAUCAUCAUACACUUGUUGCGGCGUCAUUGGUACAAGCGUAAUAGAUUUUCCACCCAUUUCAAAGCUAUACCAAUUUCUAAACCCAUCAUGCAUAACCCUUCGAUCACAUUGCAAUGGCCUACCCAACAAAAUAUGACCCGCAUCCAUAGGCACCACAUCACACAACACCUAGUCCUUAUAAUUCCCAAUAGAAAAAUUAAUAACUACUUGUUUAUUCACCUUAGCCUCUCCACGGUCAUCUAACCAUUGUAAUUUGUAUGGCCUAGGGUGUUUAAUUGUAGUUAAACAUAAUUUUUCAACCAACCUAGUACUAGCAACGUUUGUACAACAUCCCCCAUCAAUUAUUAACCCACAUACCUUGUUUGCAACAUGGCAUCGGGUAUGGAAGAUGUUUUCCAGUUGUUGCUCAUCUCUUUCCACUUUGAUUUGAGUGUUGAGUGCGCGCAUAACCACAAGUACUUCACCGUCCACCGGAUACUCCACCACUUCACCACCACUAACAUCCUCUAGCUUGGGCAUCCCAUCUCCAUCAUUAUCACUAACCACUUUCCCGUGGGCACUCAAAAUCAUUGCUCUUUUUUAUUAGGACAUUAAGAUGCAAUGUGCCCCUUCCCUAAACAUUUGAAGCACGUAAUGUCCCGACUCCUAGUAUUUUGUGAACCCACCUUGUUUGUAGUAUUGCUAACAACCUCUUUAUUUGCCUUUGGUGCACCGAUUUUAUUGUUUGCCUUUGGUGCACCGAUUUUAUUGUUUGCCAUAGCCACAUCAACCCUUUCUUCUUCCCCUCUAGGCUUCUAAGAUGAAUUAUGACCUGAUGGAGUCCUAGCCGACCCUUCCUCUUCAAUUGCCGCUCCACUUUCAUUGUCACAUGCAACAUGCCUUCAAGUUCUACAUAGUGUUACAAAUCGACCACAUUAGCAAUGUCCCGGUUCAUCCCAUUCAAGAAAUGUGCCAUGGUGGCUUCCCGGUCCUCUUCCACAUUAGCCUGAAUAAUUAAAAUUUCCAUUUCUUUGUGGUAAUCCUCCACACUUCUCGACCAUUGGAACAACCCCUGCAACCGUUGAUAAAGCUCCCUAUGGUAAUGGCUAGGUACAAACCUCUUCCUCAUAACUGCCUUCAACUCAUCCCAUGUUCGGAUUGGUCUCUUCCCAUUCCUCUGCCUUGAAGUGAUCACCUGAUCCCACCAAGUGAUGGCGUAAUCAGUGAACUCCAAAACUGCAAGCUUCACUUUUCUCUCCUCCGAAUAAUUAUAACACUCGAAGAUAAGCUCCAACUUUUUCUCCAAUUCUAGAUAUGCCUCCAUGUCACUCCUACCCUUAAAUGGCGGAAUGGACAUUUUGAUGUUGCCAUACCUCCAUCCAUGUCAUCUCCAUAAUUAUUUCGACCCCGACGUUCAAAUCUGUCUCCUCUAUUCCUCAUUCCACCCAAUUCAACUCCAUUGAACCCAACGUCAUCCACAUCACCACCAUAACGAAAUUCAUCAUGCAAUUCCACCCUCGGUCCCCGCCGUCCCGGUCUCCUAGCAUUAGGCACCUCAACCCGUUGUUCCAUACGCAAAUUGGUAACCAAUGUGUCAAUCCUUUCUAUCCUAUCACCUAUAUCCUUCAACAUUCACUCAAACCUACACAUCACAUCCUCCGGCGUAUUUGUUUGAGCACCAACCCGACUUGAGUUUGACCCUUCACUGCAAGACAUCCUAAAUACUAAUUUUUAUAUGCUUCCCUUUUUAUAUCGCUCGGAAAUCACUCAAUUUAGGCUUUUUCCCUCAAAUAAUCUCACCACUCAGCCUUUUACCUCUCAAUUGCUUCCAGUCAGUGUUCUUAAGAACAAUAGAUGGCUUUAAACUCGUGGAAUAAUAAUUAAUUGUUCAAGACUCAAUAAUCAGGAAGUUAAAGGACUAAGACAAUAAAUAAAAUUUUUGGAGGAACUAAAAAUUAUUUUUUUUGACACGUGAACAGUGACGGCAGUACGGACGUGAACAGUAAAAAAAAUUUUGUGGACUCUUACGAAGUGAAAACGAUUAGGACACUAACACAACAAACGGAAUUGAAUUUUGACUCUAGAUGAACCCGAAAAACAACUUUCAAUUUUUUUAUUUUUAUUUUGACGGAUCUAAAAUAAGACUCAAACGAAGAACAAUGAAGAACACAAGAACGAAAGGAAAACAACGAAACUGACUCAACACAAAUUGAAAGAUAUAACUUCGAACCUGGAGCCUAAGCUCUGAUACCACCUGAUGCGAACCCAGAUAACAACGAACACUAUCGAACCCACACGAGAGUAACACCAAUCCUAAGAACGCCAAUUUGAUUUGAAGUUUACAGAUUUAAUUCCUAAACGAUGAAUUAGGCAACCAACGAUAUAUUAAAUUGAAGACCUCCUAACUACACAAUUUAAGCACCUCACCCAAGGUUGCGAACGCCACAAGAAAUCCCAACUGGAUCCCUUGAUAAGUUCAUAGUCCCGAAGAACAAAGGUUUGGAAACAAAUCGCUUAUCUGAAUUAAUUCUCAAAUCAAAGUCUGUUUAAUAAUGAAAGAUAGAAAAUAAUUUAUACUACCCUAGGAAAUAAAGAAACCACGAAAUUCUAGAGUCUUAAAAUAAUGAAACUUGCCAAAAAUAAGAAAUUGAAUCAAAUUAAAAUUCUUGCAAAAAUUGGAAAUUCGCGUCUUCAGUUUUGCCCAUGUGACCGCAUGGUAGAACUUGGUGCGAUCGCAUGGUUGAAGAUGUUGCCGCCUCUUGAAUUUCAGUAGCCACCUAUGCGACUGCGUGCCUGGGACAUGGUGUGGUCGCAUGGAGUUAUGGUUUGGUCCCUUCUUCAGCCGCUCGAAUCACGUUGUUUCAUAGGCUUCCGGACUUCGACCCUAACACGAAAGUUAUCACUUAGCUCAUGGACUUCAACAUAGGGGUGUCAAAAAAGCUCGGAGGCUCGGGCGGCCCACGGCCUGGCUAGAAAAAAGCCCGAGCCGGCCCAACUCAUGGCUCGGAGCAACCGAGUCGAGGCUUGGGCUGAGCCCCAUUUUGGGGACACGAGCCGAGCCCGAGCUGGCCCGCGAGCUUUUAUUUAAAAAGAGAGAGAGAGAGAGAAGAAAAAGAGGCAGCAAGGUAGAAUUAUAUUAUUAUGCCAAGUUUGUUGCCUUUAAAAAGGCAGUGCCGAGCCGAAAUUUUUUGGCUGAGCAAAAGCUCGGCUUGACUCGAGCUCGUAAAAAGCUCGACCAUUUUAACCGAGCCGAGCUCGGGCCUAAAAGGCUCAGGCUCAGGCUCGGCUCGACUCAACUCGUUGACAUCCCUAUUUCAACAUAGUAUGCUUCGAGCCUCGAUCCAUCAAUUGUACCACUCGUAUUAGCUUUUCAAAGACCCAAUCUUGGUUUAGGUUUCUUCCAAUCAAACUCCAAUGCUUUGUUUCGUUUUGCCGAAACCUGUACCACAUCACCCAGUGCAUAAAAGCUAUAAUUCAGUUGUAGUAGAAUGUACCAUUUUGAUAACACGACAUGUUUUGAGAAUGAUUGUAGAAAUUUCAUCGUCAAAGUGCGAUGUUUAAGGCAUGGUGAAGGAGACGUUGCUGCAAUACAAUCAUAUUUCUCAAAAAUACAAAUAUGUUGUCCUAGUUUAUUUUUUGAAUAUAGACUUGAAUGAAGAGUGUCAAUUCAGAAAUGUGUUUUGGGUAGAUAAAAGAUGUAGAGAAGCGUAUAAGGAAUUUGAAAAUUUUGUGACUUUUGACCACAUAUCUUAUUUCAAAUGAAGAUAUGCCUUUUCGCUCCUUUUGUAAGCUUGAAUCACAAUGGGCAAUCAACUCUAUUGUGUUGUGGUUUGAUUUCAAAUGAAGAUACAGACAUAUUUAUUUGGUUGAACAUGCUCAAUCAUUUUGAAUUGCAAGAUCAUGAUUGGUUGAAUGGACUAUAAUGAGAGAAGUCGUUAGUAUCAUGUUAUUUGAAAACUACAUUCCAUGCUGGUAUGCCAACCACCCAACGGAGCGAAAGUAUGAACGCAUUCUUUGACGGUUAUGUAUAUUCAAAAACAUCAUUAAAGCUUUUUGUGGAGUAGUAGGAGCGGGCGUUCAGAAGUAAAGUGGGGAAGGAAUUUCAAGCUAAAUUUUCAUUCUUGUAAAUGGUUCGAUGUGCCACUACGUAUGAUAUGGAGGAGAGAUGUCAGUAGACUGUACAUGUGAGUCCAACCAUGGAUGAUUUUUUGGUUUCUAUAUUUAAACAAUUAAGAUAUGAGCAGUUGUGUGUUACUUUUAUCAAGAUGGUAGACUUAGUUGUGGCAAGUGAGGAACGGUCCAAGCAUCUCUUGGGAUGGAUUAAAUUCCAAACAAACAGAUUGUCUACGUCGAAAUGUAAUAGAUUGGAAGUGCAAAGAUUUGAAGCUUGGAAUGAUGAAAGCAUAAACAUUCUAGAUCAAAAAUGACAAAAAGCAUAGGUGCACAAAAAAGUCUAUUGAAGACAAAUUUGAAGAAAUCAAAAGGUUGCAAAAAGGUUUAAACGUUUUGUCAUUAGUACUACCUUUUAAUCAUGUAAUCAUUUAAAAAAAAAUUAAUUGACCUUUUCGUUGCAUCAUGUGCGCCUCCUAUCAAAUCCACAGUUUCAAAUAAGUAUAGCAGGCUAAAAGACAUUGUCGCAAACACUACAAAUGUUGAAGAUGUCUAGGUUCAUAACGUAUCAUCUUUACAAGCACCGUAACUUUUUGGGAUGCAAGAGGCGUGGAUGUUAUAGCAAGGUUGUAAUCAAUGUCGGAUCGGGGCUGAGCAAAGCUAAUUUAUGUCUUAUGAAGAAAGUGUGGUCGAUUGGGAGGCUGCUGAAGCAUAAGUAAUGGAACCUAUUGGUUGUUUUUUAUUAUGUUGUCAUUGUAAUUGCAUUAAGCAUCAGUAAUGUUGUUUGAAAUGAUGAAGCACGUUAUAAUAGUUCAUAGUUAACUAGCUUGUUCUCCGGAGACAGGGUGUAAAAUACUUCAUAAAUCUACUUGUUUUCAUAAUUGA
rnacentral:lncRNA from 1 species